GCUUCGGUGGGGGAUUAGUGGCGAACGGGUGAGUAACACGUGGGCAAUCUGCCCUCCACUCUGGGACAAGCCCUGGAAACGGGGUCUAAUACCGGAUACGACCACUUCGGGCAUCCGAUGGUGGUGGAAAGCUCCGGCGGUGAAGGAUGAGCCCGCGGCCUAUCAGCUUGUUGGUGGGGUAAUGGCCUACCAAGGCGACGACGGGUAGCCGGCCUGAGAGGGCGACCGGCACACUGGGACUGAGACACGGCCCAGACUCCUACGGGAGGCAGCAGUGGGGAAUAUUGCACAAUGGGCGAAAGCCUGAUGCUAGCGACGCCACGUGAGGGAUGACGGCUUUCGGGUUGUAAACCUUCUUUCCAGCAGGGAAGAAGCGAGAGUGACGGUACCUGCAGAAGAA
rnacentral:rRNA from 1 species